CACCAAGGAUCUAUAGUACCAUAAUAAAAUGUAAGCUGAAAGACAAGACAAAAACCUUUUAUUAGAAAACACGUUCCCUUCCUGACACAGAUAUGACACCAGCAGCCGGCAGUGCUCUGAGGACAGCACCUACGCCUGACCCUGGGAGCUAGUCCCUAAGCUCUCUCCAGAGUGUGGCUCUCUCAAGGCAGCAAGGCUUCACGAUGUACAGGAGUGCACUUAGAAGAAUUUGGUGGGAAGAUCCCCAUGCUGGGAGACUCUUGUGUGAUAGAUCACUCAUAAUUCACUGAAACGACUUACCAGGAAAGUUUUGUGUACUAAGGUUGGGAUGGACACUGGAAUGAAGGCCGGUGAGGAUGACGAAGACAGUUAUUGAGACAUAGUCACUGAAUGACUAGUGACCAGUUAAUAAACUUAGUUGUUUCCAAAUAGCCACAUGGUAGUCAUAUGGGAUGUAUUUGUUGAAUGAAUACAAACACAGAUCAGAUAGACUCAGGCUUUCCAAUGUAGCUGAUGAAAUGUGAUCAGAAUCCUGAGAGAGUUUAUGACCUUUCUAAGAAAAGGCUCUAUGCAGCCUGUAUGUUGAUUCAGUGGGGAAGUGCAAUAAUCAUACUUCAAUUGACAGCAAGCAGCUGAAUGGAGACAGAGCCUCCUCUGUGGCAUUACUAAGACCCUGAAUGGAUAUCUACCUAAACCUGCAUGUGAUAUAUAUGUAUAUUGCUCUAGGCUGCUGUGUUUCACUGAAAAACUGCUAUGUUCUAGUUCUGUUAGUUCUAAAAAUAAAGGCAACAAAGCAACAUCUUAUAUUCAGAAGAACAGAUAGUGGCAAUUUCUACAAAAACCAAGAACUAAAUCUUAAGGAUCCUUUGACCUCUGUUAUCACUGAAAGACAGAGCUAUGCCUAGCUCCAGCCCCUAGUUGGCCAGCUGUAGUCACUUGCAGCUUCCCUAAUAUACCAAAUGUGCUCCUUCAUUCAGACACUGAAUUGCUUACUCAUUCCUUUGUUCAUCAAAUACAAAUGGAGCACCUACUUUGUAUUAGGAACCUGGAAAAUAGAGAUAAGACAGUCUUGGGGGGAGGGGAGAAGGGGACCCCAUGUAUACAAGACAAUUUGAGAGCUCAGGUGAGGUGCAGCUGGUCAGAAGUAGUAGGCAGGAAAGAUUCCCCAGAGUUGAUGCCUCAGUUGAGUCUUCAAGCUGGGGCAGCACACUGUGGGGAGAAGACCAAGCAAACCAAAGCUUGAAAGAGCAUGGCAUGUGUGGGGAACUGGAAUUCCACAUGGCUGGAAUAUAGGGUGGUGGGAGAUAAGACUGGAGAGGCAGAGAGGGAUGAGGUCAUGGACAGCAUCUUCUAUGCAUGCCAAGGAGGUUGCGCUUUAUCCCGAAGUCCACAAGGCAAAAAAGACUGCACAGUGAAGUGACAUGCUGAGGUCCCUAUGUCAGGAAAACCACUCUGGCCACAACGAGAAGAAGGAUUGGAGGUGAUCAAGUGCUGGGGGAGGAGAGUGCAGGGAAGCAGGCGUUAUUGCUCACUGGAUAGUUUGAGUGUAUCAAUUAUUAAAUCCAUGACCUGAAUAUGGGACAGAUGAGACUGAUCUUACGAAAACAAUGGCCUUCAUUACAAUAACAUGAUGCCUUAACCAAUAUUUAGAUGGUUAGUUAAAAACACUUUAUAGAGGAAAAAAUUUAACAUAGUACUCCAGAGAGUAAAUUAUGAACAAGUAAACCUCAAGUGGCAGACUUACUCUGAAUUGCUUCAUGGAGGUUUCCUUUUUUUUUUUUUUUUUUUUUUUUUAAUUAUACUUCAAAUUCUGGGACAUGUGCAGAGUGUGCAGGUUUGUUACAUAGGUAUACACGUGCCACGGUGGUUUGCUGUACCCAUCAACCCGUCAUCUACAUUAGGUAUUUCUCCUAAUGCUAUCCCUCCCCUACCCCCCAUCCCCUAACAGGCCCCGGUGUGUGAUGUUCCCCUCCCUGUGUCCAUGUGUUCUCAUUGUUCAACUCCCACUUAUGAGUGAGAACAUGCCAUGUCUGGUUUUCUGUUCCUGUGUCAGUUUGCUGAGAAUGAUGGUUUCCAGCUUCAUCCAUGUCCCUGCAAAGGACAUGAACUCAUCCUUUUUUAUGACUGCAUAGUAUUCCAGCUUCAUGGAGGUUUUCUUGGUUGUUACCUGGGGUUCCAGUUUUGCACGCUGCAGAGGACCUGCAACUUACAGAUUUAUCACUUAAUUCAUUCUUUGCAUUCUCCUACUUUUCCUCACUCCAACCAUUUCUGGGCAUUCCAAAGCCCCUAAAGCCAGAAUUCAUUUUGCCAUGGUUCUUAGCAGAGUAAGAACUUCUUUUGCUUCCUAGAGAAUAUGAGAGCCUAGCAGUUGCCUAGUUCUUCCUCCUGGUCUCAGCUCUUUCUGUAGCUCUAAAAUGCUGCAACCUCACAACCAGUGGGAGACUAUUCUUUCCACUAGUAGAAAAACACGUUUCCCCGGAUCUCUCAGCAACUACCCUGCUAUAGCUUUGCCUUGAAAUACUGUCAAGAGUACAAACUAUUUGCAGGUAUUAAUUAUCUACCAAUAGUGCUGAUAACAUUAGGCUCUCUCUAAGCUACUCCCUAUAUUUACCACCAGCAAUCUUUUCGAUUGUAUUCAGGGAAUAGGAUAGGGAACAGUCGCUAUGCAGUUACUCAGCACUUCCUCAGAGCAGGGAACACUGCUGAGAAAUCUGGAAAGUCAGACUUGGGUUCAUACCUGUCAGGUCUGUUCCUCUGCUGCAGGGCAUGCUCUCGCCUCAAGAUCACUGGACCCUGAGAAAGCUACUCUAGGACCCUCACUCCAGUACAAGCUACAGUGUGAAGUCCUAUGAUAAUGGCAGUCAGCUCAAAGGAAAGCCAGACAGAAAAGACCUCAUCUAAUACAGUUUCCUCAACAAGAAAAGCGUCACUGUACGCACCGCUGUUGCUUUCUGUCUGACAUUUCAAAGACUGUUUCCAUGAAGAACGUACCAUUUACUUUUCUGUGAUGCAAUUACAACUUGAAAUGUUUCCAAUGAGAAGUCCAGCUUGAUAAGCCCUCAGCACUGAGCAAACACCAUCCCCGUACAUGCAGUUAAGGCAGUGAUUUGAGCAGGGGUGAUCAACAUGGAUUAAGGGACCCGACACCCACCUCAGGGUAUCAAGAGACAAAUAUGUCCAAGUAAUUAUGGGGCACACACUGUCCAAGGCAUGUGCUAGGAACCUCAACAAAGAGUGGUGUCAGUGUUCAAGACAGCAGAACAGUGAGGAGUCUAGACCUCCCGUAUGCUUAUCUGAUUUUAUUUCUCGAUUCUCUACAAUCCUUAAACGUUUGAAGUGGGCCCCAUUUGGUUAAACGCCUAACUGAUGAUGGGGGUGGGCUCACGUUUUGUAAAAUUUUGUUUUCUUUUACAAGUUCUUUUUCAGGCUAUAUAUUCUCUAAAGGGCUUCCUAUGAAAGUCUUGGCUUACAAGUAAAACACAUGGUUAUCUAAUGCCUUUACAUACACUGGCUUGAGAUACUUCCUUUUCCCUAUAAAUUAUAAAUCACAGGCAAUAGAUCUGACCGGAGAACUCCGCACCUGCAGCCCUGAACAGGAAAAUGAGAAAGUAUGGAGUGUGUGGUGGCACUGGCGGGGGAUGGGGGAGGAGGGGUGAAGUAGAAAGAAAGAGAAACAACUGGACACCAAAAACAUAGUGGUUAACAGUGCAUACUCUUUAUUUAUCGGUAUGCAAAAAUGAAUCGCAAUGCACCAUGAUGAACCAAUGGGCCGAGAGCAAUGGCCAGGCUCUGUGCUAAGUAAGCACUUUCUAUGUAUUAUCUCGUUGUAUCCUCACAACAAUACUCUAAGGAAAGUAUUGUAUCUAUAUUUUACAGAAAAGGAAAUUGAGGCUUAGCAAGAUUAACCUGCUUAUUUCAAGCAAUUUUGCAUUGAAGAGCUGGGCUACAAAUCCACAGACAACAUUCCUAACUUGUACCUUUUGCUACUACUUACAAUUCCAGUAAAUAGACCCGUUAUAAAAACAUAAAACCUGACAACUGGCAGGUCUUAAACUGGAUAUGAAAACUAAUAGAGUGUGAGAGUUGUCAACAGGAGCUAACACAGCCACCUUUAUUUUUAUUUACUUUUUUAUUCUGAGACAGUCUUACUCUGGGCCCAGUCUAGAGUGCAGUGGUGUGAUCUCAGCUUACUGGAGCCUUGACCUCCCGAGCUCAAGUGACCUUCGCACAUCAGCUUCCAGGGUAGCUGGAAUCACAAGCGCAUGCCACCAUGCUCAGCUAAUUUUUAAUUUUUUUUUGUAGAGACGAAGUCUCCCUAUGUUUCCCAGGCUGGUCUCCAACUCCUGGGCUCAAGUGAUCCACCCACCUCACCCUCACAAAGUACUGAAAUUACAGGCGUGAGCCACAGCACCCAGCCUUCCCAACUACCUUUACUGAAAGCCUUCUCACAGUCUAUGUAGCUCUUCUGAGGCACUGUGUGUCAUGGGGGUGAUAACUGCCAUGAAAGUACUGGAAUUGUUAACAAAGAAUCGCAGGCAAUCAGCAGGAUGUUUACAUUCAAAGGUUUAGAAGAAAAUAAAUUAUUUCCUGUAGUUUAUUUAUCCUUAGCACUUGUUUUGGAACUCAUGAGAGUUGAUAAAAAGUAUACAUUAUUGAGAUAGAAAUUUUUCUGUUUCCAAAUUGUCAUGUUAAGUAACCCAUUGUUUUCUAUUAAGCACAAAAUUUAACUUUUUUUCAGUCUAGAUUUUGAUUCUCCAGAACCAUGCUUUGGCUUUUCCUCCUGUGUUUUCUGCAGGAAAGUGGAUUUAUGGUUACUAUGGUCUCUGGGCUUAUAGAUGAACUUCCCUUUAACUGUUUAAUGUGCACCUAAGGGGACAGGGCCCUCCUAAAAUAUCCCUGCAGGUUGCUGCAGCUUGUCCCCACAUCUGUCUUUUCUUCUGUGUGUUUUUUUUUCCCCACUUUUUGGGGGGUCUACAAACAGCACUGUUGGACAGUGAAUUGCUGAAGCUGAUAGAUUAAAAUGAGUUCCACCAAAAAUGACUCUGAUUCCAUCCCAUAUCUGGUACUAGGCUAAGUGGCUGACAUUCAGAAGUGUGUAAGAUGGUCUCUGCCCUGGAACAGCUCACAGACUAGGCGAGAGAACAGACCUAUAUAAACUGGCUCUUAAAUACAACAGGCAGACAGAGGUAUGGACAAAGCCCUACGGGACCCCAAAGCAGGAAAACCCAAAUUCUGCCCUGAGGGAGUGAACAUGAACAAAGCUUUGUUUUAGUAUACAUUUGGAGUUGCAUGCUUUUAUGCAUUACUAAUAGAGGAUUUAUAGUAAGAACAAAGAAAUAUUAGAAGCAUCUUAUGAUUUAGCUAAUAACAAAACUCACUUUCAAUGACAUAGCAACAUCUUAAAAUAAUAACAAUUUUAAAAGCCACACAUAAAAAUCUCUAUCUGAAUUAUCUGUCUAUUCAAUAGGACAGUAGGACUACAGGCAUUACAGGAAUAAAAGGGCUAAUAAAAUGAAAGUUUUGCAUCUCUAUAUAUUUUUGCAUAUAUAUAUUUGUUGUUGGUGUUAACCUUAUGGAUAAACUGAAUUUUAGAAGCUCUUUAAAUCAUAAUUCACCACGAAGUCAAGUUUGGUACAAACGAUAUCUCAUCAAUACAACUUGAAAUGUUUCCAACGAGAAAUCCAGCUUGAUGAGCCUUUGGCACAGACUACUUUGGGUAGUCAAUUUGUGGGGUGCCUGUUUUGUGAUAUAGUGCAGGCCUGAGCAGGGUGGUAAACGGCAUUUCUGGGGGUGUCAUGCUGAGAGUGAAAGGGCUUCUCAUAAUGUCUUUAUAUCACAGUGUGGUAAAAUAAUUGUAUUUAUAUUAUUCUAAAGUAAUUUGUGAAACUACUCAAGCUCCUUAUGCAGCCAAGAAGAGCGUAGUGCAGUGAGUACAGUGUUAAGACUGUACAGGUCCCUGAGCCAUAUCCACCUGGACUGGAAUCUUGGUUCUGCCAUUUAUUGGUGCUGUGAGCCUGGACCAGUUACUUAGCUUCCCUGUGCCUGUUUACUCAUCUGUAAAGUAAGACAGAACUAGUUACCUGUGGGCUAGUGCUGAGGACUGGAAAACAAAGUGUAUCAAGUGCUUUCCACAUGGUGGGCACUCUUAAAGGCUGCUGCUUUACAGGUGAGGACAAAGGGAGCUCCUCGACACAGACUGGGCAAUGGUGGGCUGGGUGGGUGGGAGCUGUGCCCUGCUCAAGGAAAAAGAAUCCACAUGACCUUACAUUAGCCUUUGAGAAAAUAUAUUCUAUUCUGAUAAGUUGUUUUUGACAUAGGCUCAGAAAAUGUAUAAGUAUUAAACAUUUUUUAAAAUAUAAAACAAAGUUGUUUUACCAUAUACUUACUCAUUAUCUAAAAAAUGUACAUGUCAUAUUCCCCAGACAUGACUGUAGAGAAAGACAGGUGGGGUAGAAGAUAAGUCGCCAACCAAAUAAACAGUGAAGCACAUCCCUAUCCUCAAGCCGCCACUAACAGUCAGCUCUUGGUGUGGAUUCUAUACUUCCACUUUUAUAAUAAAACCUACUUUUCCUCAUAAAGGAGACCUGGAGCCUAAGCUAUAGUGCCCUUUGGCUAUCCUUGGUUGAGCAUCUUCCAAAUGAAGAAAGGCACCGACAUUCUGGGAGUUACUUUUCUUCCUGGUGAGCUCACAGGGUGAGCCUGUGGGUUCUUGCAGCAGUGAAGGUAAUGCCCACCGCUUUUCUGAGCAAUGCAAGGCUUUCUGUUAGCACUUCAUCAACAGCUGUAGCUCCCUGGCAGCUUACGCUGCAUGGCAGGGCAACCAGGAAGCCAGCACUAGAGACAGUGACCAAAGAGGAGUGACACAGAUUCUGAGAGAGAUCUAUCUUCUUGGCCUUUCUUCCAGAGGUCUAAGAAAAAUAUGUCAUUCCUGCUUUCUCCAGGUUUUCUUUCCUUCUUUGAAAUAAUUUGCACUAGAGCAGGUUUUUUGCUUGUUUCAUUGUUUGUGAAAAAAGCAAAAGGUCAGAUAUAAAGCAGUCGGUUGAAUACCAAGGGAUCAAAUUAGUACCUACACAUACAGGCCCCCUACUUCCCAGCUAGGGCCCCUACCCUGCCUUUAUCUCCUGUUUUCAUCCCCUUGAAGCUUUCCCGGGCUCGGGAUAUAAACUGUUAGGUCCUCCAAUGCAUGCCCAUUUCUGGGGAGAGUCCAGACAGUCUGGAUGACAGCAGCAGGCUUCCACUUCUCCCCUCCCCUCAGAGUCAAAGACAUGUAAGCCCCAAUCUUGCAAUGUUAAAGGAAACCGAUUCUGUGAUAUAAGCAUCUCCUUUCAGUUACUUAAAAAAUCUUAUCCCUGUUGGGGACACAGGCAGCUGCAAAGUGUCAACAUUUCACUGCAGUCUUUCUGAGCCUCUGUUUUUAGGGACUUGCAGAAUUGCUAAAGAAAGGGAGAUGGUUUAGGGACUUCAGUUUUUCCAGUUACCUUGUUUCCUCUCUUCCGUUUAUUCCUAACUGGCUCAAUUACCAUUCUUGAGAAAAUGAGAACUGAAAUCUCCAAAGAUUUUUAAAAAGUGGCUGAGGAUGGAGGUGAAAACACAAAUGCUUCCCGCCCGUGAACCCUGCUUCUCUCUGCAGGCACAGAGGGGAGCGGUGGGAAUGGGAGCGCCAAAGGAGGAGUAGGUCCUAUGGGGCACUGUGUGGCUCACUCUCCAGUAGCUGGAACAACCAUCUGUGUAUACAGCGGUGUGCAGAGCAGCACUCUCCUUUCCGUGUGGCUAACAUGUAAAGGGCCAGGAUCCUCUCCCUCCCACAUACAAGCCACGAGGCCAUCAAGUGACUGGCUUGUCUCUUUCUCACGUGAGACUGCACUGAGAUGCUAACCCAGGGCCUCUGCUUUCCUCUGGCGAGGCCCUCUGGCAAAGUAAGAGGCCCUGAGCGCCAGUCUCCUUCUGUGUUUCUGUCCUUCCCUGGAUCUGUGCCCCAAGAAGGGGGCAAAUGUACUGGAAUGGUUUUACUCAACUAACUGAGAGAAGGGCUAAGUCCAGUUCAUCAGACUUCUCUGGACUAGAAUAAUGGGCCCAAGCCUUGGUAAAAAUCAAGUACUAUUGUGUUUUCCCCUCAUUAUGGUUCCUAUACAACAGCUCCUUGAGGCAUCUUAUGGGGAGUGGUGGCUGUUGUUUAGAAUGGCAUUGGGCAUUCCGGGGUCUCUUGGCCACAUACUCAGCAUCACUAAUACCUUUCAUUAACACAAUGAAAGUAUCUGAAAAGGGGAUGUGAGAAGAGGAACAGUUAGGCAAAUAGUCUUUUUAAAGUGCUUAGAAGCAUAACUAGGCUAUAACUAACUUUGUAAUAGUAAUAAAAACAUUUAUUGAAUGCUUAGUGCAUUCCAGACACUCUUUCUUUUUUUUUUUUUUU
rnacentral:lncRNA from 1 species